rnacentral:rRNA from 1 species
AGUCGAGCGAGGUAGCAAUACCUAGCGGCAGACGGGUGAGUAACAUGUGGGAAUCUGCCUUUUGGUUCGGAACAACACGGGGAAACCUGUGCUAAUACCGGAUAAGCCCUUACGGGGAAAGUUUUAAUGCCAAAAGAUGAGCCCGCACUUGAUUAGCUAGUUGGUAAGGUAAUGGCUUACCAAGGCGAUAAUCAAUAGCUGAUUUGAGAGGAUGAUCAGCCACACUGGGACUGAGAUACGGCCCAGACUCC